AUUAUUAUUUUACUAGUUGAAGUGUAGAAACCUUGCCUCCCUUUACAUCUCUUAACCCUCUCUCAUUUAUAAUAUAAUUGUCUUAAAUAUUUUCUUUACAUAUAUUUAGAAUCACAUC